GGCGGCCUUAGCGCGGUGGUCCCACCUGACCCCAUGCCGAACUCAGAAGUGAAACGCCGUAGCGCCGAUGGUAGUGUGGGGUCUCCCCAUGCGAGAGUAGGGAACUGCCAGGU
rnacentral:rRNA from 2 species